GGCGGACGGGUGAGUAAUGCUUAGGAAUCUGCCUAUUAGAUGGGGGACAACAUUCCGAAAGGAAUGCUAAUACCGCAUACGUCCUACGGGAGAAAGCAGGGGACCUUCGGGCCUUGCGCUAAUAGAUGAGCCUAAGUCGGAUUAGCUAGUUGGUGGGGUAAAGGCCUACCAAGGCGACGAUCUGUAGCGGGUCUGAGAGGAUGAUCCGCCACACUGGGACUGAGACACGGCCCAGACUCCUACGGGAGGCAGCAGUGGGGAAUAUUGGACAAUGGGGGGAACCCUGAUCCAGCCAUGCCGCGUGUGUGAAGAAGGCCUUUUGGUUGUAAAGCACUUUAAGCGAGGAGGAGGCUACUAGUAUUAAUACUACUGGAUAGUGGACGUUACUCGCAGAAUAAGCACCGGCUAACUCUGUGCCAGCAGCCGCGGUAAUACAGAGGGUGCGAGCGUUAAUCGGAUUUACUGGGCGUAAAGCGUGCG
rnacentral:rRNA from 1 species